rnacentral:lncRNA from 1 species
UGUCAGUCAUAUUUGCCUCAUCUGCAUCAUCAUCUCCUUCAUCAUGAAGGCUAUCUUCCUCUGGCCUCGUUUGAUUAUGCUCUUCUAUAGUGACAUUGACUGCAUAAUUCACCUGGGAUCGACCCUCAACUUCCUCCAGUUGUUUUUCAUUGUCACCAUUGAGAUUUUUCUGUAUUUCAACUAACUGCAUUGGUGAGUUCUCACUCUCUAUAACCCUGUCGUCUGAAGCUGGUUCAUUUACAAUAUUCUCCUUCCUUGCUUCAGCGGCUUCAGCAGACGGCUGAAGUUCUGUAAAGCCAUCAUCACUUCCAAUCUCAGGCUUCAGCAGACGGCUGAAAUCCUCACAUGUUUCAUCCUCAGAUGUUAGCUCAUCGAAGACAGAGUUAUCUUCGUGAUCAACAUUUGAAAAAAAUCCUGGUUUUUCAGUAUGUAGCUUUUGUUGGUUGCUAGCUGAAGCAAUAUUAUGUGGGAAUUGAGCUGACUCACCAUUUGCUUGACUUUCUUCGCAGCUGAUAAUCUCAGUGUCUCUGGCUUCAGCUUCCUCCAUCAUUUCAUCUUUCUCCUUUACUUCAGCAGAUUCAGUGGUAGGCGAGCCAACAAGGCAUUUCCUUUGGCCUUUUUCGGACAUCGAAGCCACUGUACCUCUGUGCUCGUCUAAAUCAAUGGCCUCAAGAGUAUCAUUCCCUUCGGUUUCUUCAUUGGCUCCAAUGUUCAGUAAGCUAUCAUGAUGAUCGCAUUUGUUUUCUUCUUCUGCCAACAUCAGAAUUUGAGCAUUGCCUUUGCCCUGAUCUCCAUGACUUACCUCAAGUUUUUCAUUUCUACCAUUCACUCCCAAAUUUUCAGUGCACGGUGAACCAUGAACUAGAGUCAUCU